UAUGGUUUAUAAAUUUUAUUAAAAUUUUAUUUUACAUAUAAAUUUUAGUGUAAAUUUUAAAUUAUUUAAAUAAUAAUUUAAAUUUGAAAGUAGUAAUUAAUAUUAAAUAUUUAAGAAAUUAAGAUUUAGUAAUAAUUUAAUUAAUAACAAAUUUUGUGCCAGCAGUUGCGGUUAUACAAAAAUUAAAUUGAAUUUUAUUAGUAAUUAAUUAAUAAAGUUAUAUAAAUAAUAAAAAUUUUAAAUUAUUAGGUGAAAUUUUAAUUUAUUUAAAUUUUAUUUAAAGAUUAUGAUUUAAUAAAUUUUAUAAAAAACUAGGAUUAGAUACCCUAUUAUUAAAAUUUAAAAUUAAAAUACUAAAAUAGUAAAUAAUUAUUUAUUGAAACUUAAAUAAUUUGGCGGUAUUUUAGUUCAUUUAGAGGAAUCUGUUUAAUAAUUGAUAUUCCACGAAUUAAUUUACUUAAUUUAUAAUUUUGUAUAUCGUUGUUAAAAAAAUAUUUUUUAAUAAAAUUAAUAUUUAAAAAUUAUUAUAAAAAUUUAAAUCAGAUCAAGAUGCAGAUUAUAAUUAAGAAUAUAAUGGAUUACAAUAAAUUUAUUUAAAUAGAUUUUAAUAUGAAAAAUUAAAUGAAAGUGGAUUUAAAUGUAAUUUUAUUUAGUUUAAUAAAAUGAUUAUAAAUUGAAAUAUGUACAUAUUGCCCGUCGCUUUCAUAUAUUUAAAUUGAAAUAAGUCGUAACAAAGUAGAGGUACUGGAAAGUGUUUCUAGAAAGAA
rnacentral:ncRNA from 1 species